rnacentral:rRNA from 1 species
CCUACGGGUGGCAGCAGUCGAGAAUCAUUCACAAUGGGGGAAACCCUGAUGGUGCGACGCCGCGUGGGGGAAUGAAGGUCUUCGGAUUGUAAACCCCUGUCAUGUGGGAGCAAAUUAAAAAGAUAGUACCACAAGAGGAAGAGACGGCUAACUAUGUGCCAGCAGCCGCGGUAAUACAGGGGUCUCAAGCGUUGUUCGGAAUCACUGGGGGUAAAGCGUGCGUAGGCUGUUUCGUAAGUCGUGUGUGAAAGGCGCGGGCUCAACCCGCGGACGGCACAUGAUACUGCGAGACUAGAGUGAUGGAGGGGGAAGCGGAAUUCUCGGUGUAGCAGUGAAAUGCGUAGAUAUCGAGAGGAACACUCGUGGCGAAGGCGGGUUCCUGGACAUUAACUGACGCUGAGGCACGAAGGCCAGGGGAGCGAAAGGGAUUAGAUACCCGUGUAGUC